AACCUGCCCAAGAGAUCGGGAUAACACCUGGAAACAGAUGCUAAUACCGGAUAACAAUAGAUGAUGCCUAUCAACUGUUUAAAAGAUGGUUCUGCUAUCACUCUUGGAUGGACCUGCGGUGCAUUAGCUAGUUGGUAGGGUAACGGCCUACCAAGGCGAUGAUGCAUAGCCGAGUUGAGAGACUGAUCGGCCACAUUGGGACUGAGACACGGCCCAAACUCCUACGGGAGGCAGCAGGC
rnacentral:rRNA from 1 species